rnacentral:tRNA from 1 species
UCCACCGUAGCUCAAUUGGCAGAGCGACCGGCUGUUAACCGGUUGGUUCCUGGUUCGAGUCCAGGCGGUGGAGCCU